UCUUCGGUAGCUUAGUGGUAAAGCGGUGCUCUGUUAAAGCAUUUAUCGUCAGUUCGAUUCUGACCCGAAGAG
rnacentral:tRNA from 1 species